CAAUAGCGUAUACUAAUGUUGUUGCAGUUAAAAAGCUCGUAGUUGAACUUCUGGUAGGAGUGUCCCGGCCUUUUUGUUUUUACAAAUUGUAUGCUGUGUGACAUCUCUGGCCAUCCUUCUUCUUUGUUUAAAGAAGAUCUUUCACUGUAAAAAAAUUAGGGUGUUCAAAGCAAAAGUUUCUUUGGAAUAUACUAGUAUGGGAUGAUAAGAUAGGCUCUAGAUGCUAUUUUGUUGGUUUGCACAUUUAGAGAAUGAUUAACAGGGACAGUUGGGGGUAUUCGUAUUUACAUGUCAGAGGUGAAAUUCUUGGAUUUUGGAAAGACGAACUACUGCGAAAGCAUUUACCAAGGAUGUUUUCAUUAA
rnacentral:rRNA from 1 species